rnacentral:rRNA from 1 species
UACGUAGGGGGCAAGCGUUGUCCGGAUUUAUUGGGCGUAAAGAGCGUGUAGGCGGCUAUACAGGUCCGUUGUGAAAACUCGAGGCUCAACCUCGAGACGCCGAUGGAAACCGUAUGGCUAGAGUCCGGAAGAGGAGAGCGGAAUUCCCGGUGUAGCGGUGAAAUGCGUAGAUAUCGAGAGGAACACCUGCGGCGAAGGCGGGUUGCUGGGCCGACACUGACGCUGAUGCGCGAAAGCCAGGGGAGCGAACGGG